rnacentral:rRNA from 1 species
CUACGUAGGUGACAAGCGUUAUCCGGAUUUACUGGGCGUAAAGGGCGUGUAGGCGGUCUUGCAAGUCAGAAGUGAAAUUCCUGAGCUCAACUCGGGCGCUGCUUCUGAAACUGCAGGACUUGAGUGCUGGAGGGGAUAGCGGAAUUCCUAGUGGAGCGGUAAAAUGCGCAGAUAUUAGGAAGAACACCGGUGGCGAAGGCGGAUUGCUGGGCAGUAACUGACGCUGGGGCGCGAAAGCGUGGGGAGCAAACAGGAUUAGAUACCCGGGAAGUCCACGCCGUAAACGAUGAAUACUAGGUGUAGGGGGUAUCGACUCCCUCUGUGCCGCAGUUAACACAAUAAGUAUUCCGCCUGGGGAGUACGGCCGCAAGGUUGAAACUCAAAUGAAUUGACGGGG